rnacentral:rRNA from 1 species
UUGCUGACGAGUGGCGGACGGGUGAGUAAUGUCUGGGAAACUGCCUGAUGGAGGGGGAUAACUACUGGAAACGGUAGCUAAUACCGCAUAACGUCGCAAGACCAAAGAGGGGGACCUUAGGGCCUCUUGCCAUCGGAUGUGCCCAGAUGGGAUUAGCUAGUAGGUGGGGUAACGGCUCACCUAGGCGACGAUCCCUAGCUGGUCUGAGAGGAUGACCAGCCACACUGGAACUGAGACACGGUCCAGACUCCUACGGGAGGCAGCAGUGGGGAAUAUUGCACAAUGGGCGCAAGCCUGAUGCAGCCAUGCCGCGUGUAUGAAGAAGGCCUUCGGGUUGUAAAGUACUUUCAGCGGGGAGGAAGGGAGUAAAGUUAAUACCUUUGCUCAUUGACGUUACCCGCAGAAGAAGCACCGGCUAACUCCGUGCCAGCAGCCGCGGUAAUACGGAGGGUGCAAGCGUUAAUCGGAAUUACUGGGCGUAAAGCGCACGCAGGCGGUUUGUUAAGUCAGAUGUGAAAUCCCCGGGCUCAACCUGGGAACUGCAUCUGAUACUGGCAAGCUUGAGUCUCGUAGAGGGGGGUAGAAUUCCAGGUGUAGCGGUGAAAUGCGUAGAGAUCUGGAGGAAUACCGGUGGCGAAGGCGGCCCCCUGGACGAAGACUGACGCUC